rnacentral:lncRNA from 10 species
CCCCGAUGAAAAACCCAAGACCGGGUAGCGCAGCCCCUCCGCGCACGCGUAACACGAGGAGACACCGCCCACACGCCAGACGCGCUGUGAUUGGCCCCAGCUACCCUCGGACCGAGAUUCCUAUUGGUCCCAGGUGUCGAGCAUGCGCACUUUGGUCGUGGGCGCGUGUGUGGAAUGGGAGGAGGUCGCGCUGUCCAUGGGCGUCCUUGGCCUGCGCCACCCAGAGAUGAUAAAUAGCCAAAGACGUCAAUGGCACCCAUGGACAUAGUAAGCAUAGUAGGAGCUGAAAAACUAGAAGCAAUGACAAUGUCAACUAUUUUGAGCAAAAAGAAGCAGUGUCUUCGGAACAUUUGAUCAUAAAACCAGAAAUUAAAGGAUGAGAAAAACAUUUUUCUGAAGCUUAUACUUUCACAUUUCCUAGAGAGCAUAUUUGUGUGGAUGGGGGUGGGUAAACACUCAACAAAAGUUUCUUUAAAAAGAAGAAACCAUCCUGGUUUGAUGUAAUCAAUGGUUGCCCACUGCUCCCUUCCUGUGCCUGUGACCCUUCCCAAACUGCCCUGUUGCUUGCAGGCUCGCCUGAGCUGAAAGGCAGCCCUCACAUCCCGUCGGCACCUCCCUGGGGCCUUCUUUACACCCUGGAGAACUUCACAGGGAAUCUGUGUCUGUAACACAAAGGCUUCCUGGUCCAGAUGUAGAUACUAAGGCUGACUGGUUAUUUAAGUCCUGCGGACUUACUCUGCCAAAAUUAUUUAAUCAUGUAAAAAUAAUUUAUAAUUCUUAUAAAGUAUCCCCUUCAUAAUAUAAUGAAUGUUGGUGCUAUUACAUUUAAGUGCACAUGUACAGUAUACAAGAUUAUUAAUAAUAAUGUUUUCAAAUAGUUAUUGUCAAAGCUAUUUUUCUUAUGUUUAUGAAAGUGCUUAUAAAAUUCAUGUUUUAUGAGGCUGGAGAUGUAUAUUUUGUAAUUUCAUUCUGAUAUUUGUUAAUAUUCGCUUCCAAUGCUGGUUUUGUUUGAUGAGACUGACAUUGCCUAAUUUCAAGCUUUUUGAAUGUGUAUUCUUUCAGGGCAAGUAUGAAAUAACUAGUAAAAAAUAUACAAAUAUGCUUAACAAUAAGUAGACUUUCUCACAUUGAUUACUUACAACAGCUUUAUGUGGGGUGAAUCAGAUGCCUGUAUUACAGAAGCAUCUAAUGCAAAGCAAAAUAAAAACACUUGCAUGAGCGCACAGAGGUAGGUGUGGAAGAAAGUGAAACACUAUUUUAGGUUUUAGUUACACUCUGCUGUGGUGUGCUGCCUAGUAUUUGCAGGUUAAUGCAAAUACUAGGGGUUAUGAAUUGUUUCUAAGUUUAUUAUUAAAAAUAGCCUUGCUUCAUUUCUUCCUAAAAUGGAGACAAAUAUGUAUAGUGUCUGUGUUACCAGUAUGUGUAAGAGUAAUAUCUUAAUGCGUGUAAAAUGUUUAUAGGAACCUGUAUUUCAAAGAGCUAUUUUUGCAAGUGACACUAUCCUUUUAAGAAACUUUUUUAUUCAAACUUUUUCCUCCAUUUAUAACUAUUCUAUUAUUUCUUAAUGUUCAGAACCCUUUUCAUUAUCUAUAAGGUUAAAUUUUAGGUAAGUAAUGAGAAAAUAAUAAUAUGUGGAGAAGAAAUGAGUGAGGAGUCGAGAUGUGUGUCAAUCAAGAAUGAGUUUGUCAGCCCUUGUAUUAUGAUUUUACUCGGGAGGGGAUAAUUAUUGAAGGAUGUAAUGUAAGGGCAGUGAUACUAUAUGGUAUGUAAGACUGUUAAAAUCACUGAGGUAAGCUAUUACUUGAACUAAGCAUAGAAAUAGAGACAGAUUUUUAAUGCAUUUAAUUAUCAAAAUAUCUAAAUUAAAGAUUUGAUGUGGUUGUUCACUGGAAACAAAUGGCAGACAAACAGAAUAUUUCUUGGAAUCAUAAAUGACAUCAUCCUGUCUCCAACUUUCUGUGUAGCUUCUUUCUUUAGUUGGUCUUUGCUUAGAUUUCCCUGUGUCAGAGACGACUUCCCUGGAUAUCAGUGACAGUUAUUGAUUGCUCAUGCUAUGAACUCCUCCCAUUUCUCAGCCCUCUUGCAGUAGGUGGGGCCAUGGUACUAGUUGUGGCUUAUUGCUUAAAGACUUUAAGGCUCCAUGUGUGACUUUCCAGCUCUGGUCCACUGCUACUGCGGCUCUGGCAGGACUAGGGAGGUGCCCCGUGUCUCAGAUGGUGCAGCCUCCAUCCAGCUGUGUCCCUGAAUGACUAGAGCACAGCCACUGGUGACCUGUGGUGGACGUAGAAUAUCUGGUGUCAAAAGUGAGGAUCCAAAGUAAAACUCCAGUGACUCUCAGGAUCACCAGGUGACCAGGAGGCAAGGUCCAUAAGGACACUUGAAACUCAUUGCACGUGGUACUCUAUGGAAGGAAGUGUCAAUGAUGUGGAAAACAACUCCGAUAGAGAGAACAUCAUGAGAGCUUGGAAUGAUUACAUCAUUGGCAAUGCCAUCAUUGUUAUAGAAAAGCCAUGAAAGCCAUCAAGCCUGAAACAACAAAUUCCUUCUGGAGAAUACUGUGUAUAGAUGUGCAUGGCUUCACAGGAUUUAUGACUGAGCCAAUCAACGAAAUCAUAAAAGAAGUUGUGCAUAUGGCAAAAAUAAAAAGGUGGGGGUAAAGGGUUUCAAGAUAUGGGUCUUGGAUUAAUUCAGGACCUAAUAAACACCACACCAGAGAAAUUCACAAUGGAUGAUUUGAUGGAGAUGAGUGCUUUCAAACCAGUGCCAGAUGAUGAGGAGGAAGGCAUAGAAGAUGCAGGGCCAGGAAACAAGUUGACUUUAGACACUCUGGGAGGAAGGAUCCAGUUAUUCAAGAAUGCUUUUGACUUCUUUCAUAUGACAUGGACCCUUCUACAAUACAGGCAAUAAGAUUAAAGCAAAUGAUAAAGAAGAAUUAGUACUGUAUAAAAACAUUUUUAGAGAAAUGAGAAGACAGGAAUUCAGAUAGAAAUUAUGAUGUAUUUCUGUAAAGUUACACUGAGUGUGCCUGCUUCUUCUGACUCCUCUUCCAUCUCCUCCAUAUCUUCCACCUCUAUCACCCCUGAGACAACAAGACCAACCCCUUGUCUUCCUCCUCCUCAGCUUAGUUGAUGCGAAAACAACAAGGAUAAAGAUCUUUAUGAUGAUCCACUUCCACUUAAUGAAUAAUAAAUGUAUUUUUUAACUUAUUAUUUUCGUAGUAAGAUUUUCUCUUCUGUAGCUUACUUUAUUGUAAGAAUACAUUAUAUAAUAUACAUAACAUAAAAUAUGUGUUAAUCAACUGUUUAUGUUAUCAGUAAGGCUUUGGGUCAACAGUAAGCUAUUAGUAGAUAAGUUACUGGGGAAUCCAAAGUUACAUGCGGCUUUUUGACUGCAAGAGGGCCCGGUGUCUCUCACCCCAGCAUUGCUCAAGGGUCAACUCUGUAUUUCAUGACAAUUUCUUAACUACUUAUAUUUAGAUUUGGUAUAAACAGCAACAGCAACCAAAGAGAACCUUAUUACAGCAAAAAAGUUUCACUCUGUUGUUUCCACCCAGACCCUCUGCAACCUCAAUACUUCCCACUGAUUUCUGAAAGCCCUCAUCACUCUCCGGAGGAAACAAAAUAUUGACAUUUUGUUCAGGCUCAGGUAAGAUAAAGUGAAGAGGAUCA